rnacentral:misc_RNA from 1 species
GGAAAGUCGGGGAAGCUACAAAAAAGGCUGAGGAUCUGGCUGGAAACACUUGGCAGCAUUUGAAAACAAGUCCAAGUUUUGCGGAUGCUGCGCUGGGGAGAAUUGCGCAAGGGACAAAGGUAUUGGCGGAAGGGGGCUAUGAAAAGAUUUUUCAACAAACUUUUGACACAGUGCCUGAGGAAAAACUUCAAAAUUCGUUUGCUUGCUAUUUGUCAACGUCUGCUGGUCCAGUUAUGGGUGUAUUAUAUGUAUCUACGGCGAAGCUUGCUUAUUGUAGCGACAAUCCUCUUUCAUACAAGUCUGACGGGAAAACCGAAUGGAGCUAUUACAAGGUAGUUAUCCCAUUGCAGCAACUAAAGGCAGUUAAUCCUUCCUCGAGUGGGAUGAAUCCCGCUGAAAAGUACAUACAGGUAAUCUCUGGUGAUAACCAUGAAUUCUGGUUCAUGGGCUUCUUAAACUACAAUGGUGCUGUAGAAUGCUUGCUAGAAUUUCCUGAGUUACGAGCAAUGCAGUCGGUUUAAAACGUUGUCGCGGUUGAAACUUCCACACAUGCGCCACGCUAAAGUCUAAG